ensembl:snRNA U6 U6 spliceosomal RNA
GUGCUCACUUCUGCAGCACAUGUACUAAAUGUGGAACGAUACAGAGAUUAGCAUGGCCCCUGCACAAGGAUGACACGCAAAUUCGUGAAGCAUUCCAUAUUUUA